rnacentral:rRNA from 1 species
CCUACGGGAGGCAGCAGUGAGGAAUAUUGGUCAAUGGACGAGAGUCUGAACCAGCCAAGUAGCGUGAAGGAUGACUGCCCUAUGGGUUGUAAACUUCUUUUAUAAAGGAAUAAAACGAGGCACGUGUGCCUUUUUGCAUGUACUUUAUGAAUAAGGAUCGGCUAAAUCCGUGCCAGCAGCCGCGGUAAUACGGAGGGUCCGAGCGUUAGCCGGAUUUAUUGGGUUUAAAGGGAGCGUAGAUGGGUUGUUAAGUCAGUUGUGAAAGUUUGCGGCUAAACCGUAAAAUUGCAAUUGAUACUGGCAGUCUUGAGUACAGUUGGGGUAGGCGGAAUUCGUGGUGUAGCGGUGGAAUGCUUAGAUAUCACGAAGAACCCCGAUUGCGAAGGCAGCUUACUAAACUGUGACUGACAUUGAUGCUCGAAAGUGUGGGUAUCAAACAGGAUUAGAUACCCCUGUAGUC